rnacentral:lncRNA from 1 species
UCAUCUCUCGUGUCUUUUUUUUAAAUGAAAUGAAUUUUUUAAAGAUUUACACCAAACAUAGUUUUUAUGUGCACUUUUGAUUCUGUACCUUUUUUUUGGUUUCUUUGCUUCAAAUUCCAGCUUCGUUAUACUUCUCAUUGAUUUUCUCUUUUACUUUUUAAGGAUUUUGAGCCUUUCAUUUGAAAUUCUUGGCCAUUUUGCAGUGAUUUUCUGGUUCUUCGUGUUUUGGUGCUUUUGAAGUUUAACUUGAUGAUGAAAUUAUUUUUAUUUUUUAUAUUUCUUCUAUGGAUGUUAGGUUCCGCUAAAUUCCUUUUUUCUUAUUAUUAUAUAUAGUUGCCACAUCAGCUUAUACAUAUCAGUGAGGGGCGCAAAAUAACAAUAAAGAUAAGUUUUGUGUGUUUUUGUGCCCAAAAAUUAUUUAGAGGCCAAUUUGCUCUUCGGCCUAAACAAUAGCUUUUAUUUAAUAUUAAAUGGAAAACAAGAAGGAAAGGAACAACAUUAUUUACAUAGCUUUAAAAGGUUGAUUGCUAAUUAGGUUUAGACUAACCAUUUCAAUCGAUAAUUUGCCUUACAAAUUAACUAAUCCAGCCGAAUUUAGGCAAUUACAAUUAUUACCGCAGCUUUUGAUUUUUUAAUCUUUUUAUAUAAUUAAAUUUUAAGUUUAAAUUUUGGUCAAAUUUUAG